rnacentral:rRNA from 1 species
UACGAAGGGGGCUAGCGUUGCUCGGAAUCACUGGGCGUAAAGGGUGCGUAGGCGGGUCUUUAAGUCAGGGGUGAAUACCUGGAGCUCAACUCCAGAACUGCCUUUGAUACUGAAGAUCUUGAGUUCGGGAGAGGUGAGUGGAACUGCGAGUGUAGAGGUGAAAUUCGUAGAUAUUCGCAAGAACACCAGUGGCGAAGGCGGCUCACUGGCCCGAUACUGACGCUGAUGCACGAAAGCGUGGGGAGCAAACAGG